rnacentral:misc_RNA from 1 species
AAAUAUUAUAUAUAUUUUAUCCCUGGAAUUCAGAUACAGAAUUUCAGUAAAAAUUAAAAAAUGAAGCACAUGAUUAGAGCACAUUACAAUCAAACAAAAAUUUAAAUUUUUAAUGCACUAGGUAUCCCAACCACUCAUAAGGUUAAUUGCACAUAGCUCUGUCCUUAUUAGGAAGUUGCUUUGUUCAUACCAAAUAGAAUUUAUUGUCUGCAGAAUUUCCUCCAAUUUACGCAAAGAUUAUAAUGUUCAAAAAGUACAGAGUACCAUACUCAAUACAUUUGACAGACACAAGCUACUUGUACUAAAAUAACUUAAAUCAAGUCAUGUCAAGCAAAAACACCAGCAAACUCUUUUUUUAAUUAAAAAAAAAAAAGAGUUUAGGUGAGGAAUGCUCCAGGGUCAGUGCAUAUUCAAUUUGACACCAAGACCUGAAUUCAGGCCUGGCUUCCUCCUCUUUUGUGUAAAAAUUUAAAGGGCGACACUUUUAGCUUGGGCACUUGCAUUUUUCCUUUCCGAUUAAAUCAUUCUAAGGACACCAGACGAGGACUUUUAAUAAGAGACAAUUUUGACAAAUUAUAUUAGAUUCUUCUUAUUGUUUGGUCUAAGGUAGGGCUCCCUGCCAAGCAUUUAAGUUGAAGAAAACGAAAGAUAACAUUUGAUGUGACCAUAGGCCCUAAAUGCCCUUGAUCUAAGGGUUAAGUGUGAUAAGUGUGAUUUUGUGACCACAAAAGCAAGAGAUAGUCUUUGGUUUAUAGGAUAUGGGACUCCUUGAGAGGAAAAGAACUUAUCUUUGCCUAACAGUCAAACCAAAAAAGGUCACAAGAGAGUACCUUUUUAUGUCCUACAGAUAUGCCUUUAAGGCACCCCCCCUUCUAUCUAAAUGACCAAAAUGCCAAAAGAAAACAAAGUUUUGAUCCAUAAAAUGACCAAGAUGUCCCUCAUCUAUAGCAAGAAUCAGUGUCGGUAGAAGGACAACAACAGGGCCAAUCUUCCCCACAUAAACAGUUUAUAGUUCUUGCAUUUCCUAGACUUUUAUGCAAAACAAGAAAAAUAAGAACAGUUACAGCAACAGCAACAACUACCGGUUGUUACAGAGUUUGGCCCACGAGGCUGAGCUCACGAGGACAAACAACAUGACAAAUUCUAUUGCCUGCU